GGGGAUGAUGAUACAUCGAUGUGCUGAAUAUUGAUGAUGAACGCGCCCUUCUCUGACCU
rnacentral:snoRNA from 1 species